rnacentral:tRNA from 1 species
GCACCCGUAGCUCAAGUGGAUAGAGCAUCAGAUUGCGGAUCUGAGGGCUGGGUGUUCGACUCACCCCGGGUGCG